GUCUCCAUGGCGUAGUGGUUUCAGUGUUGACUUUGAUUCUGGAGGCCAGGGUUCAAUUCCCAGCUCAGCUA